UUAAAUUGAAGAGUUUGAUCAUGGCUCAGAUUGAACGCUGGCGGCAGGCCUAACACAUGCAAGUCGAACGGUAACAGGAAGCAGCUUGCUGUUUCGCUGACGAGUGGCGGACGGGUGAGUAAUGUCUGGGAAACUGCCUGAUGGAGGGGGAU
rnacentral:rRNA from 1 species